rnacentral:rRNA from 1 species
AGUGAACGCUGGCGGUAGGCCUAACACAUGCAAGUCGAACGGCAGCACAGGAGAGCUUGCUCUCUGGGUGGCGAGUGGCGGACGGGUGAGGAAUACAUCGGAAUCUACUCUGUCGUGGGGGAUAACGUAGGGAAACUUACGCUAAUACCGCAUACGACCUACGGGUGAAAGCAGGGGACCUUCGGGCCUUGCGCGAUUGAAUGAGCCGAUGUCGGAUUAGCUAGUUGGCGGGGUAAAGGCCCACCAAGGCGACGAUCCGUAGCUGGUCUGAGAGGAUGAUCAGCCACACUGGAACUGAGACACGGUCCAGACUCCUACGGGAGGCAGCAGUGGUGAAUAUUGGACAAUGGGCGCAAGCCUGAUCCAGCCAUACCGCGUGGGUGAAGAAGGCCUUCGGGUUGUAAAGCCCUGUUGUUGGGAAAGAAAUCCAGCUGGCUAAUACCCGGUUAGGAUGACGGUACCCAAAGAAUAAGCACCGGCUAACUUCGUGCCAGCAGCCGCCGUAA